UACGUAGGGGGCAAGCGUUGUCCGGAUUUAUUGGGCGUAAAGAGCGUGUAGGCGGCCAUUCAGGUCAGCUGUGAAAACUCGAGGCUCAACCUCGAGACGUCGGUUGAAACCGUUUGGCUAGAGUCCGGAAGAGGGUCGUGGAAUUCCCAGUGUAGAGGUGAAAUUCGUAGAUAUUGGGAAGAACACCGGUGGCGAAGGCGGCGACCUGGUCCGGGACUGACGCUGAGGCGCGAAAGCGUGGGGAGCAAACAGG
rnacentral:rRNA from 1 species